AGUCAAGUAAUUAAGUGCAUGUGGUGGAUGCCUUGGCAGUCAGAGGCGAUGAAAGACGUGAUAGCCUGCGAAAAGCUCCGGGGAGGCGGCAAAUAUCCUUUGAUCCGGAGAUGUCUGAAUGGGGGAACCCACCUACUUUAAGGUAGGUAUUGCAACAUGAAUACAUAGUGUUGCAAGGCGAACGAGGGGAAGUGAAACAUCUCAGUACCCUUAGGAAAAGAAAUCAAUUGAGAUUCCCUCAGUAGCGGCGAGCGAACGGGGAUCAGCCCAUUAAGUUAUGUGUGUUUUAGUGGAACGCUCUGGGAAGUGCGAACGUAGAGGGUGAUAUUCCCGUACACGAAAGGGCACACAUAAUGAUGACGAGUAGGGCGAGGCACGUGAAACCUUGUCUGAAUAUGGGGGGACCAUCCUCCAAGGCUAAAUACUCCUGACUGACCGAUAGUGAACCAGUACCGUGAGGGAAAGGCGAAAAGAACCCCUGUGAGGGGAGUGAAAUAGAUCCUGAAACCGCAUGCAUACAAGCAGUGGGAGCACCUUCGUGGUGUGACUGCGUACCUUUUGUAUAAUGGGUCAGCGACUUAUAUUCAGUAGCGAGGUUAACCGUAUAGGGGAGCCGUAGAGAAAUCGAGUCUUAAUAGGGCGUUUAGUUGCUGGGUAUAGACCCGAAACCAGGCGAUCUAUCCAUGAGCAGGUUGAAGGUUGGGUAACACUAACUGGAGGACCGAACCCACUGUCGUUGAAAAGCCAGGGGAUGACUUGUGGAUAGGGGUGAAAGGCUAAUCAAGCCUGGUGAUAGCUGGUUCUCCCCGAAAGCUAUUUAGGUAGCGCCUCGGACGAAUACCAUAGGGGGUAGAGCACUGUUUCGGCUAGGGGGUCAUCCCGACUUACCAAACCGAUGCAAACUCCGAAUACCUAUGAGUACUAUCCGGGAGACAGACUGCGGGUGCUAACGUCCGUAGUCAAGAGGAAAACAAUCCAGACCGCCAGCUAAGGCCCCAAAAUCAUAGUUAAGUGGGAAACGAUGUGGGAAGGCAUAGACAGCUAGGAGGUUGGCUUAGAAGCAGCCACCCUUUAAAGAAAGCGUAAUAGCUCACUAGUCGAGUCGGCCUGCGCGGAAGAUGUAACGGGGCUAAAACUAUGUGCCGAAGCUGCGGAUGUAUACUUUGUAUACGUGGUAGGGGAGCGUUCUGUAAGCCGAUGAAGGUGUGUUGAGAAGCAUGCUGGAGGUAUCAGAAGUGCGAAUGCUGACGUGAGUAACGACAAAACGGGUGAAAAACCCGUUCGCCGAAAGACCAAGGGUUCCAGUCCAACGUUAAUCGGGGCUGGGUGAGUCGACCCCUAAGGCGAGGCCGAAAGGCGUAGUCGAUGGGAAAAUGGUUAAUAUUCCAUUACUUCUGUGUAAUGCGAUGAGAGGACGGAGAAGGCUAAAUCAGCCUGGCGUUGGUUGUCCAGGUGAAAGGAUGUAGGCAUGUAUCUUAGGCAAAUCCGGGGUACUCUAUGCUGAGAUCUGAUAGCAAGCUGUACUUGUACAGCGAAGUGGUUGAUGCCAUGCUUCCAGGAAAAGUCUCUAAGCUUCAGUUACACAGGAAUCGUACCCGAAACCGACACAGGUGGUCAGGUCGAGUAGACCAAGGCGCUUGAGAGAACUCUGCUGAAGGAACUAGGCAAAAUGGUACCGUAACUUCGGGAGAAGGUACGCUGU
rnacentral:rRNA from 1 species